rnacentral:rRNA from 1 species
GGUUAAGCGACCAAGCGUACACGGUGGAUGCCCUGGCAGUCAGAGGCGAUGAAGGACGUGCUAAUCUGCGAAAAGCGCCGGUAAGGUGAUAUGAACCGUUAUAACCGGCGAUGUCCGAAUGGGGAAACCCAGUGUGACUCGUCACACUAUCAUUAACUGAAUCCAUAGGUUAAUGAGGCGAACCGGGGGAACUGAAACAUCUAAGUACCCCGAGGAAAAGAAAUCAACCGAGAUUCCCCCAGUAGCGGCGAGCGAACGGGGAGGAGCCCAGAGCCUGAAUCAGCAUGUGUGUUAGUGGAAGCGUCUGGAAAGGCGCGCGAUACAGGGUGACAGCCCCGUACACAAAAGCGCAUGUGCUGUGAGCUCGAUGAGUAGGGCGGGACACGUGGUAUCCUGUCUGAAUAUGGGGGGACCAUCCUCCAAGGCUAAAUACUCCUGACUGACCGAUAGUGAACCAGUACCGUGAGGGAAAGGCGAAAAGAACCCCGGCGAGGGGAGUGAAAAAGAACCUGAAACCGUGUACGUACAAGCAGUGGGAGCACAGGUUUACCUGUGUGACUGCGUACCUUUUGUAUAAUGGGUCAGCGACUUAUAUUCUGUAGCAAGGUUAACCGAAUAGGGGAGCCGGAGGGAAACCGAGUCUUAACCGGGCGUUAAGUUGCAGGGUAUAGACCCGAAACCCGGUGAUCUAGCCAUGGGCAGGUUGAAGGUUGGGUAACACUAACUGGAGGACCGAACCGACUAAUGUUGAAAAAUUAGCGGAUGACCUGUGGCUGGGGGUGAAAGGCCAAUCAAACCGGGAGAUAGCUGGUUCUCCCCGAAAGCUAUUUAGGUAGCGCCUCGUGAAUUCAUCUCCGGGGGUAGAGCACUGUUUCGGCCAGGGGGCCAUCCCGGCUUACCAACCCGAUGCAAACUGCGAAUACCGGAGAAUGUUAUCACGGGAGACACACGGCGGGUGCUAACGUCCGUCGUGAAGAGGGAAACAACCCAGACCGCCAGCUAAGGUCCCAAAGUCAUGGUUAAGUGGGAAACGAUGUGGGAAGGCCCAGACAGCCAGGAUGUUGGCUUAGAAGCAGCCAUCAUUUAAAGAAAGCGUAAUAGCUCACUGGUCGAGUCGGCCUGCGCGGAAGAUGUAACGGGGCUAAACCAUGCACCGAAGCUGCGGCAGCGACACUAAGUGUUGUUGGGUAGGGGAGCGUUCUGUAAGCCUGCGAAGGUGUGUCGUGAGGCAUGCUGGAGGUAUCAGAAGUGCGAAUGCUGACAUAAGUAACGAUAAUGCGGGUGAAAAACCCGCACGCCGGAAGACCAAGGGUUCCUGUCCAACGUUAAUCGGGGCAGGGUGAGUCGACCCCUAAGGCGAGGCCGAAAGGCGUAGUCGAUGGGAAACGGGUUAAUAUUCCCGUACCUGGUGUUACUGCGAAGGGGGGACGGAGAAGGCUAUGUUGGCCGGGCGACGGUUGUCCCGGUUUAAGCGUGUAGGCUGGUUUUCCAGGCAAAUCCGGAAAAUCAAGGCUGAGGCGUGACGACGAGGCACUACGGUGCUGAAGCAACAAAUGCCCUGCUUCCAGGAAAAGCCUCUAAGCCUCAGGUAACAUCAGAUCGUACCCGAAACCGACACAGGUGGUCAGGUAGAGAAUACCAAGGCGCUUGAGAGAACCCGGGUGAAGGAACUAGGCAAAAUGGUGCCGUAACUUCGGGAGAAGGCACGCUGACACGUAGGUGAAGCGGUUUACCCGUGGAGCUGAAGUCAGUCGAAGAUACCAGCUGGCUGCAACUGUUUAUUAAAAACACAGCACUGUGCAAACACGAAAGUGGACGUAUACGGUGUGACGCCUGCCCGGUGCCGGAAGGUUAAUUGAUGGGGUCAGCGCAAGCGAAGCUCCUGAUCGAAGCCCCGGUAAACGGCGGCCGUAACUAUAACGGUCCUAAGGUAGCGAAAUUCCUUGUCGGGUAAGUUCCGACCUGCACGAAUGGCGUAAUGAUGGCCAGGCUGUCUCCACCCGGGACUCAGUGAAAUUGAACUCGCUGUGAAGAUGCAGUGUACCCGCGGCAAGACGGAAAGACCCCGUGAACCUUUACUAUAGCUUGACACUGAACACUGGUCCUUGAUGUGCAGGAUAGGUGGGAGGCUUUGAAGUGUGGACGCCAGUCUGCAUGGAGCCGUCCUUGAAAUACCACCCUUUAAUGGCUGGUGUUCUAACGUAGACCCGUGAACCGGGUUGCGGACAGUGUCUGGUGGGUAGUUUGACUGGGGCGGUCUCCUCCUAAAGCGUAACGGAGGAGCACGAAGGUUGGCUAAUCCUGGUCGGACAUCAGGAGGUUAGUGCAAUGGCAUAAGCCAGCUUGACUGCGAGCGUGACGGCGCGAGCAGGUGCGAAAGCAGGUCAUAGUGAUCCGGUGGUUCUGAAUGGAAGGGCCAUCGCUCAACGGAUAAAAGGUACUCCGGGGAUAACAGGCUGAUACCGCCCAAGAGUUCAUAUCGACGGCGGUGUUUGGCACCUCGAUGUCGGCUCAUCACAUCCUGGGGCUGAAGUAGGUCCCAAGGGUAUGGCUGUUCGCCAUUUAAAGUGGUACGCGAGCUGGGUUUAGAACGUCGUGAGACAGUUCGGUCCCUAUCUGCCGUGGGCGCUGGAGAACUGAGGGGGGCUGCUCCUAGUACGAGAGGACCGGAGUGGACGCAUCACUGGUGUUCGGGUUGUCAUGCCAAUGGCACUGCCCGGUAGCUAAAUGCGGAAGAGAUAAGUGCUGAAAGCAUCUAAGCACGAAACUUGCCCCGAGAUGAGUUCUCCCUGAGACUUUGAGUCUCCUGAAGGAACGUUGAAGACGACGACGUUGAUAGGCCGGGUGUGUAAGCGCAGCGAUGCGUUGAGCUAACCGGUACUAAUGAACCGUGAGGCUUAACCUU